GUAUAACUAGAAGUUUGAUUGCAUGGAUUUGUUUCGUUGUACACCUUUACUUAUAGUUGUCUGUUUCUAACAAUACAUUUUCCACAGCUCGGGUAUCACAUAAUGCGUUUAUUUUAGUUACAUGAAUGUAAUGUCAGCUGAGAUGCACAAUAAAUCUUUCUGUUGGCACAUGUAUAAAGAGUUCGUGCAUCUGACAAGCUCAUUAAAUGUACGUCACUUAAGUAUGAUUUUGAUGAUAACGAUCUAUUGUAUGGUUGUAUGGUAAAUUAAUUAUUUGUCCUGUCUAGUUUUUUUUUUCAGAGUUUCAUCAAAACCCGUGGGAAACGUAGCACGACAACAUGCUGACACCACGAGGACCUUUAGAAACAAUUGUGUGCUUAACUGCAGGUGACCAGCCAUUGCAAUAGAAGGCUGCUACUGCAACAUGGAUAGGGUUCAGUGACCGUUGAAUGUAAAGCCCUCGAGAGCUUCAGGGUGAUCCUUUCUAGCGAAGGUAAAUUACCCUGCAUUAAAGAACCAGUGCUGUAUGUGAGAGGCUGUGUUCUGCAUAUGUAUAUCUGCACUACGUACUUGACAUUUUUAUAAAUAAAGCCUUUUGCUUCAUUUCUUUGUUUGUUUUUUGUUUGUGAAUUUGAGCAUUUUAUGGACUCUUAAAGAUGCAGACAGUAAUUUUUUAUUUUUAUUUUAUUUUUUUUUUGGUUCUUUGACUUGGGGCAUGGAUUCAGCAUCAUUCAAAUGUCAUUGUAGAAAUUCACUUUUCGGUCAACCAUGAUUAAUCCAUGAAAGUGUCCAACAGGGCAUUUACUGAUAUUUGGCUGGUCAUGUGAUUCUCACAUGACAGCCCCCAUGAGUGGACCCUCUCCAUGUAGAAUGAAACCAUUUUUAUAAGGUUACUGAAUCAACUGGAGUCUUCAACUCAUGUGAAUGGUCAUGAUUUUGUUUCAAAAUUACUAAUCUUUUGAAGAAAACAUUUUUAAAUCAGGGAACAAAUUACUGCAUGCACUUUUAAAGGGAUGGUUCACCCAGAAUGAAAAUUCUCUCAUUUAUUCACCCUUAUGCCAUCCCAGAUGUGUAUGACUCAUUUACAGAACACAAAUGGAGACUUUUUUUUUUUU